rnacentral:rRNA from 1 species
AGAGUUUGAUUCUGGCUCAGGAGAAACGCUGGCGGCGCACAUAAGACAUGCAAGUCGAACGGAAUUUAGUCAAAUGUUUACCAUGAGACGAAAAUUUAGUGGCGGACGGGUGAGUAACACGUGAGCAACCUACCUUCAGGAGGGGGAUAACAUUGAGAAAUCAGUGCUAAUACCGCAUAAUACUACGAGAAGACAUCUUCAUGUAGUCAAAGGAGUAAUCCGCCUAAAGAUGGGCUCGCGGCUGAUUAGCCAGUUGGUGGGGUAACGGCCUACCAAAGCGAUGAUCAGUAGCCGAGCUGAGAGGCACAACGGCCACAUUGGGACUGAGACACGGCCCAGACUCCUACGGGAGGCAGCAGUCGGGAAUAUUGCACAAUGGAGGAGACUCUGAUGCAGUGACGCCGCGUAUAGGAAGAAGGUCUUUGGAUUGUAAGCUAUUGUCGACAGGGAAGAAAAAAUGACAGUACCUGUGGAGGAAGCUCCGGCUAACUACGUGCCAGCCGCCGC